UACAGAGGUCUCAAGCGUUGUUCGGAUUCAUUGGGCGUAAAGGGGUGCGUAGGCGGCGGGGCAAGUCAGGUGUGAAAUCUCGGGGCUCAACCCCGAAACUGCACUUGAUACUGCCUUGCUCGAGUACUGGAGAGGAGACUGGAAUUUACGGUGUAGCGGUGAAAUGCGUAGAUAUCGUAAGGAAGACCAGUGGCGAAGGCGGGUCGCUGGACAGUUCCUGACGCUGAGGAGCGAAAGCGUGGGGAGCGAACAGG
rnacentral:rRNA from 1 species